UUGAAAGGGAAACGAUUGAAGUCAGUCGUAUCAGCGGGAAAUCAACCUUUCGAGUGGGGUUUUGGAGUUUUUUGAAGAGUGUCAAAACCUUUAUUUCAAAAUAUUCGCUCUUUUGGUGUACUUUCUCGUGGGUAGGUUAACAUCGAUUUUGAUCAUCAUAAAAAGAUUGGAGGAAUGUAGCUUCGAUCUUGUAUUGAAGUGUUAUAGCCUUUGGUAAAUGUGAUGAUUAGGAUCGAGGAUUGCAACGAAUACCCUUUUGGGCUAUCCGCCUGAUCUCUGAUACGUGGCCUUGGUAUCGAAAGCGUGCUUAUGGUAUUGAGGUAUUACGGUCAAAAGGUUAGAACGGAUUACAUUCGUUAAGGAUGUUGACGUA
rnacentral:rRNA from 1 species